rnacentral:lncRNA from 1 species
GGAGAUCAUUAAUACAAAAGUAUUAUAUAAACCAAACCUGAUGUUGCCAGCUCCUUCAAUGAAUGCAGCAGUGUGACAGCCAACAAUCAAAAGUAACAAGAUAUCGAGGAAAUGCAGAAGGCAAAAAACUGCGUAGGAGAUCAUUAAUACAAUAGUAUUAUAUAAACCAAGCCUGAUGUUGGCCGCUCAUUCAAAGAAUGCAGCAGUGUGACAGCCAGCAAUCAAAAGUAACAAGAUGUCGAGGAAAUGCAGAGUGUAAUAAACUGUGUAGGAGAUUAUGAUUGCAAUAGAAUAAAAUCGACCAAGCCUGAAGUCCUUCAAUGCACGCAGCAGUGUGACAGCCAGCAAUCAAAAGUUACAAGAUAUCGAGGAAAUGCAGAAGGCAAAAAACUGCGUAGGAGAUCAUUAAUACAAAAGUAUUAUAUAAACCAAACCUGAUGUUGCCAGCUCCUUCAAUGAAUGCAGCAGUGUGACAGCCAGCAAUCAAAAGUAACAAGAUAUCGAGGAAAUGCAGAAGGCAAAAAACUGCAUAGGAGAUCAUUAAUACAAUAGUAUUAUAUAAACCAAGUCUGAUGUUGGCCGCUCAUUCAAAGAAUGCAGCAGUGUGACAGCCAGCAAUCAAAAGUAACAAGAUGUCGAGGAAAUGCAGAGUGUAAUAAACUGUGUAGGAGAUUAUGAUUGCAAUAGAAUAAAAUCGACCAAGCCUGAAGUUUUUCAAUGCACGCAGCAGUGUGACAGCCAGCAAUCAAAAGUUACAAGAUAUCGAGGAAAUGCAGAAGGCAAAGAACUGCGUAGGAGAUUAUUAAUACAAUAGUAUUAUAUCAACCAAGCCUGAUGUCGGUAGCUUCUUCAAUGAAUGCAGCAGUGUGACAGCCAGCAAUCAAUAGUGACAAGAAUUUAGGAAAUACAGAAGGCAAAGAAGCAGAUAUCAUCAAAGAAGAUCUUUGUUCCUGCAAUGUUUCCGCAGACGAUACAUCCAACAGAGCGAAG